rnacentral:rRNA from 12 species
AAAUUCUUAUCAAAAACAAGAAUAAUGAGCUUUUUCUUUAUUUAAGGUUAAAAGAUUUCGCAAGUGAUUCUUCGGGAAAAAUUGAACUUGAUUUUUGUCUUACAAAAAUUCGUAUUUAAACCAAAAAAGGUUAAUCUGUUUAGCAAAAUAAUGGUGUAAAAAUUAAAGAAAAAUAUGGAACUCGGCAAACUAGCUCCGAACCUUAGGAAGAAGGAGUGGCAAUUUUAACAAAUAAAUUGCUGUAAAAAAAGGAAAUCCACAACUGUUUAUUAAAAACACAUGACCAUGCUAAUUUUUAAAAGAAAGUAUAUGGUCUGACUUGUGCUAAAUGCUUGAAAAUUGAAAAAAAAAUUGUUUUGCUUUUUUAUAAAAACGAGCUAAUAGCAGUCUUAUUCCUGAGGAUUGUAAUGUAGCGAAAUUCCUUGUCCACUAAAUAUGGUCCCGCAUGAAUCAAGUAAUGAUGGAUUUGCUGUCAUGUUUUUCUGUUUUGUGAAUUUGAAGUAGGAGUGCAGAUUCUCUUUUCCAAAAUUAAGACGAAAAGACCCUAUAAAACUUUACUAAAAACAAUUAUUGCUAAAAUUCAACAUUCUGUUCAGAGUAAACAAGAGCUUAUGAAAUUUUUUAUUUAAAAAGUUGAAGCGACGCUGAGAAAUUGUUCUUUAUUGGAUUAAAGCUAAUUUUUUAAAAAGACAGUGAUUGUUUGUUAGUUUCUUUGGGGCGAAGUUCUUUUAAAAGGUAACAAAGAAGUGCAAAGGCAAAUUAAUUUGAAAAAUUUCAUUUUAAAACGAAAAAGUAUAUAUUUGCUUAACUGUAAGGUUGAUAUACCAAGCAGAAAUUAACGUUGGCUUUAUUGAACCAACUUUUUUGAUUAAAAAAGAAGUUGUUCAUCAGAUAAAAGUUACUUUAGGGAUAACAGAAUUAUAAAAAUCAAGCGAUCAGAGCGAAAUUUUUGUUUGUGACCUCGAUGUCGAUUUGUGGUAUCCUCGAGGCGAAGAAGUUUCGAAGGGUUUAACUGUUCGUUAAAUAAAACCGCACAUGAAUUGGGUUUAAAACGACGUAAGUCAGUUUUGUUUCUAUCUAAUUUUGGAUUAAAACUGAGGGGGUUCUUGUUUAGUAUGAGAAGAAUAAUAAGAAGAAGCAAAUUGUGAUUGGUUAUUUUCUAAAAAUAUUCAACUAGCAACGCUUUAUAAAAUAAAAAAUGAAAGCAUCUA